CCUACGGGGGGCAGCAGUGAGGAAUAUUGGUCAAUGGGCGCGAUCCUGAACCAGCCAAGCCGCGUGAAGGAUGACUGCCCUACGGGUUGUAAACUUCUUUUAUAAAGGAAUAAAGUGCGGCACGCGUGCCUUUUUGCAUGUACUUUAUGAAUAAGGAUCGGCUAACUCCGUGCCAGCAGCCGCGGUAAUACGGAGGAUCCGAGCGUUAUCCGGAUUUAUUGGGUUUAAAGGGAGCGUAGAUGGGUUGUUAAGUCAGUUGUGAAAGUUUGCGGCUCAACCG
rnacentral:rRNA from 1 species